UCUUUCAAAGAGAAGGGAAACACCCUUAUUUUUAUCUAUUUUUCGGUAAUUCCUGGGAGUUUCAUACUGUUGCACACGACAUCGAACUCUUGCAAGUGCUUGUAAGGCUCCUCACUUGGUAAACCAUGGAAAGAUGACAAGAGAUGAAUUAGACCUGAUUUUAAUUCAAAUGGAGUGUUAUCAUUCAAACUUGAAAAAGUAAUGCAUAACGGCUGCUCAUUUAAAUCAGGUGCAGCCAAUUCCUUUAGUAUUCGUGCAUUAGUCAUAGUAAUUUCUUCUCGAUCCGAAUCACUCGAAAUAUCACCAAGUGAAUGUGUCGCUUUAACUUUCGAAUCAAGUCUUUGAUACGCAGCACUAGAUUGCUCCUCUUUGAGCUGUCUGGUCUCUUUCCAUGUUCUAUGUGUAAUCUUCUCUACUUUGGGAUUAAAAAUCAAUUCAUAUGUACAAGAAGAACGACGCAUACACUGGAGAAGUACCAGAAAAUUAGAACGAAAAUGAAAUCAAGAGAAACAAAUAAACUAAUGCUAGUCCCCGGCAACGACGCCAAAAUUGGAUAGGUUGUCGAUGCCUGUACAAUAAUAAAAAUAAACCUAGUUGCCAAUUAAAGUAAUCAAAAUCCGAUUCUAAGUAUUAGAGCAGGGGUUCUAGGUGUGCAAUGGGUUACUUGAUUCACCCUAUUCCCGAAGAGUUUAUUUAAUCCGAGAUACCAGAAUAAGAUUGUUUAUUCACAAGCAAUUAUUGAUUUGUAUAAAGGCAAGUAAGGUCGUCUCCUCAGGGACUGGGAAUGUUUGUCUCUUUUGAAUUCCAAAGUAAUACGGGGGUGUUUUUGUAUAAAAGAUGACAAUUAAAACAGUUCAACUAAAAGCAAAUAGCUAACUAAAAAUUAAAUAACAAUUUACUAAAAUCAGAUCAAUAAUAACUAAAGAUCUAGCCAAGAAAUAACUUUAAUAAUGGUUCAUGUGACGACCCCACCUCCCCCUAAGGCGUACCAAAAGGAUGUUACAGUUCACCUAAUUGAUCAUUGAUGCAAAGGCAAUUCCAAUUAUUUACAAAUAAAUAGAUUAUAACUGCCAAACAAGUGAUGACAGUCAACUCCUCCUUACUAUGUCGGUAACUAAGGUACGCCCGUUAGUCACUAUUCUAAUUGAGAAAUAAUUCUAGGUACGCCCGUAAGAUUUAAUUCUCCAAUUGUCUUACGAAUUAAAGGAACCCUAUUCUAACCAAAUAACGCACUAUCAGGAUUAUUUUAGAUUAGCAUGCGUAUUCCCCUAACACAAAUCCAAUCAUGCCAGUUGUCACUAUUUCAGGGCAAUUAAACAAUUACGAAUUUAAUGCUCCAAUUGACAAUAGGUUACCAAAUCAAUUCGACAUCCGGAUCCAAGAUAAUCAAUUAAUUAAAUAACUAUAAGCACUGCAAUCAGAGAAUAUGCAAAUAUCAAUAAAUAAGAUGAAUAGAUAAAAUUAAUCCAAUCUUACAAUUUUUAGAUGCACCAAAACCUCCGUCGUUCCUUGACUAGAAAAAGGGAUUUAGUUCAUCCCUGAUGAGAAAAACCCACACAAAGUUGUAGAACCAAUUGCCGCCAUUGUCUCCGAUUGAGAAAACUCAAUUUGCUUGAAUCAUGAAAAGAAAAGGCAAGACUACAAAGAAUGACCAAUUGUUUUUCUUGGUCUUGACAUCUGAAAGAAGAAAGCCACAAGAAGAUGAAAAAAGAGAAAAGUCAAAAGAAGAAAAACUAAAAGUAGUCCCAAUUGUUUGCUAUCUAUUUCCUCUCUAUUUUCUGCUACUUCUAUGAUACGGCUUUUUAGAGGAGAAAAAGAAGACUCCUAGUCUUGUUCCAUCUAUUUUCUCUUAGGCAAUUACCAAAAGGGGAAAAGUUUUCAUCUUCCAAAAGUACCCCUGGACGCCGUAUUUGCCCCCCGGAAUAAGGUAGCAGAGUUGAAUUAUUCUCCCCUUGUUGACUGCUGCUAAUAUUCUUCUCCUGAUAACCAUCAAAUUAGCACCUUUUAUGAUUUUGUGUUUCACUCCCUGUAAUAAAUACAAAUUUUUAAAAGUGAGUAGAAUUUGACAAUUAAACCACAUCCGGUAAGGUAAUAGGAGAAAUUAAUUAUAAAAUAAAUGAUAAAAUUGCAACCUAUCAAUGGGGUUUGACAGAGACAAAAAUUAACGUUGUUUAUUAACCUAUUUAAUUCUUCUCUAGUAUAAGCUUUUGCAAAUUUUUCUUGCAUAAUGUUUUUACGACAAGUCUACCGGUACUGCGGGAAAACUAUACAGAGAAAUACAGAGGAUGGAAAUGCAAGGCACACUUCAGUUACUUCUUAUAAGUCAUAAAUAAACCAAGUAUCCGAUUGUAUAUGUUGGCUUGAGGAAGCUUAGAAUGCAGCAGCAUCAAAAAAAAUGAAGAGUUUAGUGAAAUCAAUAAAGAAAAUAAUCUGUUGAAAGAUGAAAUUAAGGUUUUAAGGUACCAACUUAAUUGGUUUUCUGGAGGGAUUUACAUGUAGUGAUUCUAUAUGCUAGUACUGCUUCAGGCAACCAGGUGGAUUUCAUUAGUAAUCUUAGAAUUAGGCAAAUAGAAGAGUCAUCAAAGGAUAUAGACAAUACUACUGUUUUUUGUUAUAUACAUCUGUCAGAACUUAUGCAAGCUCAGUUCGAUUAAUAAAAGCAUCUGGACUUGUUAAGGGCUUUCACAUUUAUAUGGUACGCAAUAAUGCUCUAUUUUCCUUCUCCCAUACACUGGUAAACUUGGACAGGUCUUCUUCCGUCCUACUAUGGCAACCUAGAAGCGUCGCAUCCAAUUUUUAGGUCUUAUUACUCUCCAUCAUUGUAGAGACUCGACUGAAAGCUAUAGCCAAGUCUAUUCGUAAACUCAAGUCAAAGGGGAAAUAUUUAGGAGUUAGUUAAAACUCAGUUUAGAGUCAAGUUUGGCUUUUCAUAUUGAUGGAACAAAAGCUUCCUUUGAUUACAACUUUUGGGUAUGUUCUAAAUUUUUUAUGUUUAUCUUAAGUGAAUUGUUGUAGACCAGAAAAAAAAAAAAAGAAAUUGUUUACCCUACAGAUUUUUGUUGUUAUUGAAGGAUGACAUGAUAUAGAACAAACUAAAUCCAAAAAGGCUAAACGGAACUUUAGCCCUGAAAAUCAAUAUAUUAGGCUCUGUUUGAUGGAUAUUUUAAUAGCAAAAAUGUCACAUGUUUAUUUUGAAUUCAAACACAAUAAAUUACAAAUUUUUCAAUGAAUUUUCAGCUACAAAUUUGAAAAUUUAAAAGUGUGACAUAUGUUUUUAAAAUGAGAUUUAUGUCGUGAAUUGUGUAACCUAUGUAAUGAUUAGGUUUAUAAAUUCAUUUAGUGAAUUUUUACUAUUAUACAAUGCAUAUAGACCUUUUCAAUUUAUAGAUGAAAAUAUGAGCUAUUUAUUCCACUUAAUAUUGGUAUUUUAAUACUUCUAAUUUCUCAGCCUAUAAUAGAGGUUUCUAUCAAUCAAGUCUUAUACAUGUUUUGCUAUUUCUAAACAACCUUUUACUUUUUUUUCCUCUCACCACUAUUAGAGUUUAUAGGGCAAAGAACGGUGUUAUAUGAGGUUUCUAUCUUACUCCAAUUGUGUAGAUUGGAGUAGAUUAGAGUAAGGAAAAAGUUGGUUGUUGUAUUCUGAAGGCAACGUACUGAGACCUAUUACAUCAAAAGAUACUCAGUAAGGGUACGAAUUGUCUUAAAGAGAGCGACUUAUCUGCACCUCAAUCCAUGCCAAACGUACUUUAAUGGUACAAAUUAUUUGUAUUUUUAUAUAAUAUUGAUAUGAGGUGAAUAUUUUUAAUUUCCUCGUUAACUUUAAUUGGCAAAAUAUUUCUAACUAGUGUGAUUAUUUUAACCCAAAACCAACCCUUUGCCUUUCCCUUUUGACUGAGAUGUUGCUUCAGAUGCCAUAUCUGAGGCAGAUAUGCACCAGAAAAACAUCACAAUGUUAUGUUCUUAAGAACAUAUUUAAUAGCUACUGCAUUAUAGAACUAAAAAUGAAAGGCAAAUAUGCACCUGAAAAAUUCAUACAUAUGUUAAAUGAAGAAAAAUUCAUUCAGUGCCAACAGAUAUGGCAAGAUAUCAGCCACAGGUUUGGGGAGAAGAGGUCUCAGGAGUCAAGUAAUUAGAAACAGUCUUAAGUAUGAAGAGGUUUGGGGAGAAGAGGUCUAAGCAGUCUUAAGUAUGAAGAAACAGUGGUUAUUGACUGGCAUACCUAUUUGAGUUCUGCUGUGUGUUAUCUGGACAAACAAACACGAACUGGGUUGAUGCCAAAUGUGAUAGUGCAACAAUUUAAAACAAGAAGUUCAAGGGACAUAAUUGAUCUUCAUUGUCACCCUGAGGAUACCGUUGUGAUUAGUUAUUUGAUUUUUAAUUGAGUUAUUCAUGCAAUUUAGUCUAACACUUCCAAGCAUGUCUUGGUGUUCAAUUCCUGUCAGAUACGUCCGCAGCAGCAAGGAAGCAAACCCAACAGCCUUUUUAAAAUCAUCUCUUAGGAAACGUCAAAAAUUUUGCAGUCUUAACUUGUGUUAAUGGCUCUUAUUGCUUUUACUCUUGACAAUGAAGUAUAUCACAAAGGCGCUAGCUCUUGGGAAAGCUCCUUUAUCUGGAUUAUAAUCUGUUUGAAUUUGGUGGAGAAUUGGGGAUCACAUCACAGGUUAUGAUGAUCAUACUUGUGACAGAAUAUGCAUUAAGGAUGCAAAUGUGAUUCUUCAAGACAGAUCCAUGGGAGGCUAAAGAAUUUUGUAGACAACAAGCUACGAAGAAGGGCAUAUGCAUUAAGUUAUUUGGGGUCAAGCAUAUGGCAAUUAUCCAAUCUCAAAAAGGCACAUUGUUUGCUAGCCAUCAGGGUAGUCAAUACAUCAAACACAUGAUGUUCAUCAAAAUAGUCAAAGGUCGAAAACUAGAUGAUUGUUCAUUUGAUCUGCUCAAGAAAUAUACGGUACACACAACAAUUUUGCAGUUAAAGUAUACUAAAUGCCCUGUUUUUGUGGCAAGUGGAGUGAGAGUGCUUAAAUUUUCUGCAUGCUCCAGUGACUUAGAAACUUUUUCUCGUUUCCUUGCUUCCAUGUCCAUAUCAGUGGCAUGCUACAAAUAUUAUUCAUUUUCAUAUUAAAAAUACACAAAGUUUCCCUAACAAGUAAAUUCCUCAAUUUUUCCAACCCGCAAUGAUCAACAAGCAAAGAAUAUAGAAAAAUAAAAAAAAAACCUUUUUCCCAUUUUUCAUGCUAAUUUCAAAAACACAUGGAGAUGAAUACGGAUCAGCAUCUAAUAAAAUAUUUGACAACUACUUCACCAACAAUUGAUUAAUCAUACAGAGGAGGUAGGGGAAUAAACGUAUAUAUUUUGAAAAUUUUGUCAAAUAAAUUUGUUGCAUAUGACCUGCAGAGAUUGAGCCCCGGAGAUCCUGAACUGCCCUGUUGUUCAAAAUGGCAACCCAAACAGCUUUGUCGCAGGAGAUCGAGGCCACCACGUUCUACAAUUUAAGUACGCAGGAGAUGUUCAAUGCUGGGAAAAGGCAUAUGAGGAAGAUGAGUAAGAGGAGAGACAAGGCGUCAGUGAUGGAAGUAUAGGUGGAGGCAGAGGAGGAAGUAUGGGAGGAGGCGGAGAAGGAAGAUGUGGAGGAGAGCACAAGAAACGGUGGUUGGUCUGUGACGAGAGAGAGAGAGAGAGAGACCUUCAUUUCAGUUUUGUUUUUGUUCAUUACGCGGAGACCCGUAAAUUUACUGAUUUAAUCCAUCUAGGAUCCGCGUACUAACCCGAAUAGGAGGUGAAAUUAUGGAAUUGGAAUUGUAAUUCUUAGGUCUUACCAAAGAAUUGAAUUUGUGGAAUUGAUGGCCCAUAGAAUUCGAAUUGAA
rnacentral:lncRNA from 1 species